GCCUGACAGAGCAGGGUGGGGAACGUGCUGCUGAUUCCUGCUUUUCCUUUGCAAACUGAGAGCAGUGAGGAAGUUGCUGACAGCCUCUCUGCAGGUUGAUGCAGCUUAUGCCCAGGUUGUACCUGGACCUGAUGAAGCCGGGCUGGAUUUCCAGAGCUCGUGUGUAAGCCUCCACAGCCUCCUCACUGCGGUCCCCGUUGGCCAAGGUUGCCCCAAGGCGGUUCCACAACGUAUAGUCCUGGGAUGGCAUAAAAGAUAAAGCCUUCAGUCAUUAAAUGAGGAUAACCACUGCAUUUACCUUUCAUCUGCUGUCUUAGACAUCCUCCUGUGUCUGGAACUCCCCAUCACACAAGUUUCUGGCAACUGCAGGAGAACUGGCAUCAUUUGCUUAACCACCAGCACUGAGAUGUUCAAGAGGAGAUUCCCUGUGCUGCCUUCCCAGGUCACAGCACAGCACAUCCCACCCUGAGGAUCAGCAAGUGGGAGCAUCUAAAGCAUUUCCAGCAGUGGCAAUCUGAAAGCAAGUUCCCUCCUUUCCUGCCAGGAGCAAAUGUGUGUGACACCAGAAACGUCUCCUGUGCCUCAGCAGCAGUUGUUGAUGAAGAAUUUCUUUGACCUGGAAAUAAAAAAUGCCUUCCAUGCUUGGUUUAUGAAAGAGCUAAUUUACUGAUUUUGUCCAUUUUAGCCUUGUAUGCUGAGACCAGAUUUUCUUGUGUGUGCAACAAAAUCCCAAGGAACCAUGGUAGAAACCCUUCAUUUUACCACAGCAUAUCAUGAAAAAACCCCUACAAAUCAGAUUAAUUACUUCAACAAUAAAUUCUCUUUCUAGCUAGAAGCCAGUAUCAGACUUAGGCAUAGUUCUGUUUCUCAUCAGCCACUAUUAAUCUAGAAUUGUUCAGCUGUCAGCAUUGGAAUUAGAAUGGUCUAUAGCUUGAGUUAGAAGAAUAUUAAAAUACAUGACUAAAAUUUAAAUCUAAACUGAAACAUCCCUAAAGUUUUCUAGAUGGUUUGGAGACUAAUGAGCCUGCAGUGCUGAAAAUGCUAAAAAUAACCUGUUUUGAGGAACUAGCUUCACAGCUUCAUCCUCUGCACCCUAAGAACUCAUUUCAGUGGCUGUUACAUAAUUUAGCCUGAAAUUCUGUCCUUGCUGGAAUGGAGCUGUCUUGGCUCUUUGUGGGAUUUUGAAGGGUUGCCCAUAGAACCCCUGAGAAGAUAAUGAAGAUAAUGAUGCUCCAGACCAAUGCUUAUAUCCAAUUUUUUGUGGAGUUCUGCUAAAAAAUCUGUGUUGUACUUUGUGUCUAGACAGGAUCAGUUUGGACUAGUGGUAUAGGACAACACUCAAGAGAUGUUUUAGAUGUUGGAAAUGCAGAAAUCAGUGAAAAAAACCCCAGAAGUGCAAUAGGGGAACUAUCCAAAUUCUUCCGUCUUUUCAAACCAAAUAGAUUUACCAGGAUACAAGAAUACUCCUGUGUUAAACAUUCUGCCACUGGUUGUAAAAAUGUGAAAAUGGUGCAUGGUUGGUGCUUGUGCACAGCUCUGCUUUACAGCAGGUGAUUGUGCUGUUGCUCUCCUUUCACACGAGAGACUUGGUUUGUGUCUGGGUGUAAAGAACUGAUGGCACACAAUUCCCUCUUUAACUUGUGGUUUGGAAAUUGCUACAUUUAUGGGGCAUUUACCCAUUUGCUUUAGCAAUAAAA